UCAACCACAAUGCAUUUAUGAGGUUAUAUGUUUCUUCUGCUUCAUGUACUUAUCGGUCACUGUAUACAUAUUCAAGAGAAAGGCAUAAACUCUAUUGUUUUAAACAAUCUAAAGCUUUUAGUCUGUCAUUAAAAAUAUCUUAAAGAGGGAAGUCUUUUCACGCAUCUAUUUUCAUUUGUCUCAGGACUCUUACUAAAAACAUUUGAGUGUGGACAUGAAUCCUACAUGAAAGCUAAAAAAUAAAUACUUUUUUAAACUAUUUUUACAGAUACUUGACAUCUUAACACAGCUGUAUCAGUAAGAUAUUUAUGUCAUCACAAACAAUUAUUUGAUCAAAUCUUAGUAAAUUAAAUCUAUAAAGACCCAACUGUUUUUAUUUUAAUAAAAUGAAACAUUAUAGUGUGAAAAAUAAGUAUGUUGCAUUUAUACAGCAUGGUUAACAACACCAUUUGUAAAAGUGAGAAAGAAAGUCUAAUCUGUUGUAAAAUUUCUGUGAGACAUUUGUAGCAACUUGUAUAAGAAGCACUUUUGGUUUCAAAGAACCUUAUGUCAACUCAUUUUCAAUCUAAUAUAGGUCUUUUUGUGUUUGUAUGCUUGUGUUUGUUGUUUACGUUUGUAUGUUUGUUUGUACAGUAUGUUUGUGUUUUUGUGUAUGUGUUUGUGUGUUUGUUUUUGCGUGUAUGUUUGUGUUUGUGACCUAGUUUGUUUUUUGUAUGUUUGUGUACUUGUUUGAGUUUGGGGGUGUAUAUUUGUGUUUGUUUGUAAUUUUAGUUUUUAUCUUUGUAUGUUUGCAUUUGUAUGUUUGUGUUUGUGGUUUACGUUUGUAUGUUUGUUUGUACAGUAUGUUUAUGUUUGUAUGUUGUGUUUGUGCCCUAGUUUGUUUGUUUUGUAUGUUUGUGUACUUGUUUGAGUUUGGGUGUAUAUUUGUGUUGUUUGUAAGUUUUAGUUUGUAUGUUUGUUUGUACAGUAUGUUUGCAUUUGUAUGUUUGUGUUUGCUGUUUACGUUUGUAUGCUUGUUUGUAAUUUUUAGUUUGUAUGUUUGCAUUUGUAUGCUUGUGUUUGUGGUUUACGUUUGUAUGUUUGUUUGUACAGUAUGUUUAUGUUUGUAUGUUUGUGUUUGUGACCUAGUUUGUUUGUUUGUAUAUUUGUUUACUUGUUUGAGUUUGGGUGUAUAUUUGCAUAUGUUUGUAAGUUUUAGUCGGUAUGUUUGUGUGCAUUAUGUUGUUUUCUGUAUGUUUACGUUUGUGUGUGUGUGUGUGUGUGAUUGUGUGUGUAGACUGUCUUGUUAAAACAAUCAUAGAUCUCACAUCCUUUUGACCACUAAAUUAACUUUCAGCUAACCUCACGCUCACAGGUCAACGUCAUAAAUAUUUUAAAUUGUAAACCUUUGAUCACUGAACGCAAAAUGUUGAGCUUUAGCUGACCCGCAGCACCACCAUUUACAAUGCCAGACCCCCUCAAAACUAAUUAGUUUACAAUUGAGUUGCAAACCCCGAAAACCUUUAGAUUUUUUACAAUCUUUCAAAAUACCUUUCGCUGAUAUGGUCGUACCGGCAAUCACACAGUCCCA
ensembl:lncRNA